rnacentral:siRNA from 1 species
UCAAGGAGUGCUCGAAUUUGU